CACGUAGGGCGCAAGCGUUGUCCGGAAUUAUUGGGCGUAAAGAGCUCGUAGGCGGUCUGUUGCGUCCGCUGUGAAAACUCGGGGCUUAACCCCGAGCCUGCAGUGGAUACGGGCAGACUAGAGGUAGGUAGGGGGAGAAUGGAAUUCCUGGUGUAGCGGUGAAAUGCGCAGAUAUCAGGAGGAACACCGGUGGCGAAGGCGGGACUCUGGGCCGUAACUGACGCUGAGGAGCGAAAGCAUGGGGAGCGAACAGG
rnacentral:rRNA from 1 species